GGGCGUAUGGUCUAGAGGUAUGAUACCUGCUUUGGGUAACGAACUACGUCUAUAGACGGAAACUCAAUUGCAGGGGGUCUUCGGUUUGAAUCCGGAUUCGCCCC